rnacentral:rRNA from 1 species
CCUACGGGUGGCAGCAGUGAGGAAUAUUGGUCAAUGGCCGGAAGGCUGAACCAGCCAAGCCGCGUGAAGGACGACGGUGCCACGCAUUGUAAACUUCUUUUGUCAAGGGACAAAGUCCGGCUCGCGAGCCUCCCCGCGUGUACUUUAAGAAAAAGCAUCGGCUAACUCCGUGCCAGCAGCCGCGGUAAUACGGAGGAUGCGAGCGUUAUCCGGAUUUAUUGGGUUUAAAGGGUGCGUUGGCGGGCUGUUAAGUCAGCUGUAAAAGCCUGGGGCUCAACCCCAGCAGAGCAGUUGAAACUGGCGGGCUUGAGAAGGGUAGAGGUAGGCGGAAUGCGUGGUGUAGCGGUGAAAUGCUUAGAUAUCGCGCAGAACUCCGAUUGCGAAGGCAGCAUACCGGAGGCGAUCUGACGCUGAGGCACGAAAGUGUGGGUAUCGAACAGGAUUAGAUACCCGUGUAGUC